GCGGGUAUAGUUUAAUGGCAGGACGGCUCCUUGCCAAGGAGCAGGCGGGAGUUCGAUUCUCCCUACCCGCA
rnacentral:tRNA from 1 species